rnacentral:rRNA from 1 species
AAUGAACGUUGGCGGCGUGGAUUAGGCAUGCAAGUCGAGCGCUCAUAGCAAUAUGGGAGCGGCGAACGGCGUAGUAAGACGUAGGAACGUACCCUCGGGUCGGGGAUAGCUACGGGAAACUGUAGGUAAUACCCGAUAAUCUCUGCGGAGCAAAGGUGUGAUUCCGCCUGAGGAGCGGCUUACGCGAUAUUAGCUAGUUGGUGGGGUAAUGGCCUACCAAGGCGAUGAUGUCUAGGGGGUGUGAGAGCAUGGCCCCCCACGACCGGAACUGAGAUACUGUCCGGACACCUACGGGUGGCUGCAGUCGAGAAUCUUCCGCAAUGGACGAAAGUCUGACGGAGCGACGCCGCGUGCGGGAUGAAGGCCCUUGGGUUGUAAACCGCUGUCAGAGGGGAUGAAAUCUUCGGAGGUACUCCUCCGAAGUUGACAGAGCCUCAAAGGAAGCACGGGCUAAGUACGUG